rnacentral:rRNA from 1 species
CGCAACGGGAGGAGCGUGCGGUUUAAUUGGAUUCAACACCGGGAAGCUCACCAAGGGCGACUGUCACAUGAAGGCCAGGCCGAUGACCUUGCCGGAUUCCCAGAGAGGUGGUGCAUGGCCGUCGUCAGUUCGUACCGUAAGGCGUUCUCUUAAGUGAGAUAACGAACGAGACCCUCACCGAUAAUUGCUACCCCAUCCUCCGGGGUGGGGGCACAUUAUCGGGACCGCUGGCGCUAAGCCAGAGGAAGGAGAGGUCAACGGUAGGUCAGUAUGCCCCGAAUCUCUUGGGCUACACGCGCGCUACAAAGGGCGGGACAAUGGGCUCCGACGCCGAGAGGCGGAGGCAAUCCCGAAACCCGUCCGUAGUUCGGAUUGAGGGCUGCAACCCGCCCUCAUGAAGCUGGAUUCCGUAGUAAUCGCGAAUCAAAAACUCGCGGUGAAUAUGCCCCU